AGAAAAGUAAGCUAAAAUUAAGCUAAUGGGUUCAUAUCCCAUAAAUAGAGUAAAUCUCUUUUCUA
rnacentral:tRNA from 1 species